UACGGGGGGGGCAAGCGUUGUUCGGAAUUACUGGGCGUAAAGGGCUCGUAGGUGGCCAACUAAGUCAGACGUGAAAUCCCUCGGCUUAACCGGGGAACUGCAUCUGAUACUGGAUGGCUUGAGUUUGGGAGAGGGACGCGGAAUUCCAGGUGUAGCGGUGAAAUGCGUAGAUAUCUGGAGGAACACCGGGGGCGAAGGCGGCGCCCUGGACCAACACUGACACUGAUGAGCGAAAGCCAGGGGAGCAAACGGG
rnacentral:rRNA from 1 species